AAUUCCAGCUCCAAUAGUGUAUAUUAGAGUUGUUGCAGUUAAAAAGCUCGUAGUUGGAUUUCUGCUGUGGUCAUCCGGUACCGCCCGUACGGGUGCGCACCUGGUUUGGCUGCGGCUUUCUUCCUGUAGCCGUCCGCGCUUAAUUGCGUGUGUUGUGUUGCGGAACUUUUACUUUGAGAAAAAUAGAGUGUUUCAAGCAGGCUUGUCGCCCUGAAUACUUCAGCAUGGAAUAAUAGGAUAGGACCUUGGUUCUAUUUUGUUGGUUUCUAGGACCAAGGUAAUGAUUAAUAGGGACAGUUGGGGGCAUUCGUAUUUAACUGUCAGAGGUGAAAUUCUUAGAUUUGUUAAAGACGAACUACUGCGAAAGCAUUUGCCAAGGAUGUUUUCAUUAAUCAAGAACGACAGUAGGGGGUUUGAAGACGAUUAGAUACCGUCGUAAUCUCUACCAUAAACUAUGCCGACUAGAGAUAGGGAAACGCCUACCUUGGCUUCUCCUGUCUCCUG
rnacentral:rRNA from 1 species